rnacentral:rRNA from 1 species
UGGGGAAUUGUUCACAAUGGGCGCAAGCCUGAUGACGCAACGCCGCGUGGAGGAUGAAGGUCUUCGGAUUGUAAACUCCUGCUGCCCGGGACGAAAUGCUCUAACCUAACACGUUGGAGUUUGACGGUACCGGGUGAGGAAGCCCCGACUAACUCUGUGCCAGCAGCCGCGGUAAUACAGAGGGGGCAAGCGUUGUUCGGAAUUACUGGGCGUAAAGGGCGCGUAGGCGGCCUUCUAAGUCGAACGUGAAAUCCCCGGGCUCAACCCGGGAACUGCGUCCGAGACUGGGAGGCUUGAAUCCGGGAGAGGGAUGUGGAAUUCCAGGUGUAGCGGUGAAAUGCGUAGAUAUCUGGAGGAACAUCGGUGGCGAAGGCGGCAUCCUGGACCGGUAUUGACGCCGAGGCGCGAAAGCCAGGGGAGCAAA